GAUGAACGCUAGCGGGAGGCCUAACACAUGCAAGUCGAGCGGGGCUAUGUAAUAUCGCAAGGUAGAACAUAGCCUAGCGGCGAACGGGUGAGUAACACGUGGGUAACCUGCCUGGAAGACAGGGAUAACGAUUCGAAAGGGUCGCUAAUACCUGAUAAUAUCCUUUCAUCGCAUGGUGAUAGGAAGAAAGGGGAAACCCGCUUUCAGAUGGGCCCGCGUCCCAUCAGCUAGUUGGUAAGGUAAAGGCUUACCAAGGCGACGACGGGUAGCCGGUCUGAGAGGAUGUACGGCCACACUGGGACUGAGAUACGGCCCAGACUCCUACGGGAGGCAGCAGUUGGGAAUCUUAGGCAAUGGACGAAAGUCUGACCUAGCGACGCCGCGUGAGGGAAGAAGGCCUUGGGUUCGUAAACCUCUGUCAUGGGGAAGAAGUAAGUGACGGUACCCCAAGAGGAAGCCCCUGCUAACUACGUG
rnacentral:rRNA from 1 species